UCAACACAAUAAACAGACAAACAAACACAACAGAAAAGCAAAAAGCAUGGGAUGAUGGCCUCACGCCGUACCGCAGGAGCGACCCGCACCGUCCCUCCAGGAGUCUCACAGACUCGUACUCAGGGGGCACUCCACCCCCUGCCAGAAGGAUCCCGGAACGUCUUCCAGGAUCCCUGGUCGGCAGCCCUCGCAGCGCGUCUGCCUAGACCGUUUGCCGACCUUCCCAGAAAAUGGGUCCCAGACUUUACAGACACAGAAACACUCACCAGCCAGCGUCGACCCUCUGAACAGCUUCCCGGAACCCUGCACUGCUCUGUGGCAGGUCUGAAAACAAGCGCAGAGCAAAGGGACCAUAAUCAUGAAUGCAGAGCUCUGAUGCCAUGAGCCAGAACAGACCUUUCCUCUGUAACCUCCAGCACUCACUGGCGUAGCUGAAAGCUGACAAACACAGUCACCUGGAUGUCCAUGUCAGGGGUUUGGACAAAAGUGCAGGCCUUUCCCUCUCUGUCCCUCUCUUAAGCUACCACCAGCAUGCACUUAGUUCCUUUAAACAGAUUUGGAAUUCCAAACUGAGUUACCUUAAAAAUCAAAUAAAAAUAUAUU
rnacentral:lncRNA from 1 species